GCUUGCUUCUUGGGGUUGUAGGACACUCUAUACGGAGUUACAAAAGAAAGUUAUAAAUGAAGCGGUCUGGAAAGGCCCGCCAAAGACGGUAACAGCCCGGUAGUUGAAAUGGCUUUCCCUCCAGAGUGGAUCCUGAGUACGGCGGAACACGUGAAAUUCCGUCGGAAUCCGGGAGGACCAUCUCCCAAGGCUAAAUACUCCCUAGUGACCGAUAGUGAACCAGUACCGUGAGGGAAAGGUGAAAAGCACCCCGGAAGGGGAGUGAAACAGUUCCUGAAACCGUGUGCCUACAAGUAGUUAGAGCCCGUUAAUGGGUGAUAGCGUGCCUUUUGUAGAAUGAACCGGCGAGUUACGAUUUGUUGCAAGGUUAAGCGGAAAAAGCGGAGCCGUAGCGAAAGCGAGUCUGAAUAGGGCGCAUAAGUAACAGGUCGUAGACCCGAAACCAGGUGAUCUACCCAUGUCCAGGAUGAAGGUAAGGUAAUACUUACUGGAGGUCCGAACCCACGCACGUUGAAAAGUGCGGGGAUGAGGUGUGGGUAGCGGAGAAAUUCCAAUCGAACUUGGAGAUAGCUGGUUCUCUCCGAAAUAGCUUUAGGGCUAGCCUCGAGGUAAAGAGUCAUGGAGGUAGAGCACUGUUUGGACUAGGGGCCCUUCUCGGGUUACCGAAUUCAGAUAAACUCCGAAUGCCAUGUACUUAUACUCGGGAGUCAGACUGCGAGUGAUAAGAUCCGUAGUCGAAAGGGAAACAGCCCAGACCACCAGUUAAGGUCCCCAAAUAUAUGUUAAGUGGAAAAGGAUGUGGGGUUGCUUAGACAACCAGGAUGUUGGCUUAGAAGCAGCCACCAUUGAAAGAGUGCGUAAUAGCUCACUGGUCGAGUGACCCCGCGCCGAAAAUGUACCGGGGCUAAACAUAUUACCGAAACUGUGGAUGAACCUCUUUAGAGGUUCGUGGUAGGAGAGCGUUCUAAGGGCGGUGAAGUCAGACCGGAAGGACUGGUGGAGCGCUUAGAAGUGAGAAUGCCGGUAUGAGUAGCGAAAGAAGGGUGAGAAUCCCUUCCACCGAAUAUCUAAGGUUUCCUGAGGAAGGCUCGUCCGCUCAGGGUUAGUCGGGACCUAAGCCGAGGCCGAUAGGCGUAGGCGAUGGACAACAGGUAGAGAUUCCUGUACCAGUGCUAAUUGUUUAACCGAUGGGGUGACACAGAAGGAUAGGGAAUCGCACGAAUGGAAAUGUGCGUCCAAGCAGUGAGUGUGAGAAGUAGGCAAAUCCGCUUCUCGCGAAGCAUGAGCUGUGAUGGGGAAGGAAAUUAAGUACGGAAGUUCCUGAUUUCACGCUGUCAAGAAAAGCCUCUAGGAAGAGUAGUACUGCCCGUACCGCAAACCGACACAGGUAGAUGAGGAGAGAAUCCUAAGGUGAGCGAGAGAACUCUCGUUAAGGAACUCGGCAAAAUGACCCCGUAACUUCGGGAGAAGGGGUGCUCUAUUAGGGUGCAAGCCCGAGAGAGCCGCAGUGAAUAGGCCCAGGCGACUGUUUAGCAAAAACACAGGUCUCUGCAAAACCGUAAGGUGACGUAUAGGGGCUGACGCCUGCCCGGUGCUGGAAGGUUAAGAGGAGUGCUUAGCUUCGGCGAAGGUACGAAUUGAAGCCCCAGUAAACGGCGGCCGUAACUAUAACGGUCCUAAGGUAGCGAAAUUCCUUGUCGGGUAAGUUCCGACCCGCACGAAAGGCGCAACGAUCUGGGCACUGUCUCAACGAGAGACUCGGUGAAAUUAUAGUACCUGUGAAGAUGCAGGUUACCCGCGACAGGACGGAAAGACCCCGUGGAGCUUUACUGCAACCUGAUAUGGAAUGUUUGUACCGCUUGUACAGGAUAGGUAGGAGCCGAAGAGACGUGUGCGCUAGCAUACGAGGAGGCAAUGGUGGGAUACUACCCUGGCUGUAUGACCAUUCUAACCCGCCACGCUUAGCGCGUGGGGAGACAGUGUCAGGUGGGCAGUUUGACUGGGGCGGUCGCCUC
rnacentral:rRNA from 1 species